GAUGAACGCUGGCGGCGUGCCUAAUACAUGCAAGUCGAGCGAACGGACGAGAAGCUUGCUUCUCUGAUGUUAGCGGCGGACGGGUGAGUAACACGUGGAUAACCUACCUAUAAGACUGGGAUAACUUCGGGAAACCGGAGCUAAUACCGGAUAAUAUUUUGAACCGCAUGGUUCAAAAGUGAAAGACGGUCUUGCUGUCACUUAUAGAUGGAUCCGCGCUGCAUUAGCUAGUUGGUAAGGUAACGGCUUACCAAGGCAACGAUGCAUAGCCGACCUGAGGGGGUGAUCGGCCACACUGGAACUGAGACACGGUCCAGACUCCUACGGGAGGCAGCAGUAGGGAAUCUUCCGCAAUGGGCGAAAGCCUGACGGAGCAACGCCGCGUGAGUGAUGAAGGUCUUCGGAUCGUAAAACUCUGUUAUUAGGGAAGAACAUAUGUGUAAGUAACUGUGCACAUCCUGACGGUACCUAAUCAGAAAGCCACGGCUAACUACGUG
rnacentral:rRNA from 1 species